GAUGAACGCUGGCGGCGUGCCUAAUACAUGCAAGUCGAGCGAACAGACGAGGAGCUUGCUCCUCUGACGUUAGCGGCGGACGGGUGAGUAACACGUGGAUAACCUACCUAUAAGACUGGGAUAACUUCGGGAAACCGGAGCUAAUACCGGAUAAUAUAUUGAACCGCAUGGUUCAAUAGUGAAAGACGGUUUUGCUGUCACUUAUAGAUGGAUCCGCGCCGCAUUAGCUAGUUGGUAAGGUAACGGCUCACCAAGGCAACGAUGCGUAGCCGACCUGAGAGGGUGAUCGGCCACACUGGAACUGAGACACGGUCCAGACUCCUACGGGAGGCAGCAGUAGGGAAUCUUCCGCAAUGGGCGAAAGCCUGACGGAGCAACGCCGCGUGAGUGAUGAAGGUCUUCGGAUCGUAAAACUCUGUUAUUAGGGAAGAACAAAUGUGUAAGUAACUAUACACGUCUUGACGGUACCUAAUCAGAAAGCCACGGCUAACUACGUG
rnacentral:rRNA from 1 species